rnacentral:rRNA from 1 species
GACGAACGCUGGCGGCGUGCUUAACACAUGCAAGUCGAACGGAAAGGCCCUGCUUUUGUGGGGUGCUCGAGUGGCGAACGGGUGAGUAACACGUGAGUAACCUGCCCUUGACUUUGGGAUAACUUCAGGAAACUGGGGCUAAUACCGGAUAGGAGCUCCUGCUGCAUGGUGGGGGUUGGAAAGUUUCGGCGGUUGGGGAUGGACUCGCGGCUUAUCAGCUUGUUGGUGGGGUAGUGGCUUACCAAGGCUUUGACGGGUAGCCGGCCUGAGAGGGUGACCGGCCACAUUGGGACUGAGAUACGGCCCAGACUACUACGGGAGGCAGCAGUGGGAAAUAUUGCACAAUGGGCGGAAGCCUGAUGCAGCAACGCCGCGUGCGGGAUGACGGCCUUCGGGUUGUAAACCGCUUUCGCCUGUGACGAAGCGUGAGUGACGGUAAUGGGUAAAGAAGCACCGGCUAACUACGUG